UCCCACUGCCUCACCCAGGCAAAGCCCAGCUUCCCAAGACCUGGCUGUGACAAUAUUGUCUCCGCGUUAAUCCCGCUCUGGUUUAGGGGCCUGAACUGGCUCUGACCAGGCGUGCUGGUUCCCACGGCCAGACCGUCCACUCAGCGAAUCAGCACAGGCUCCAGGGUGAGGGGGUGAGAAGUGUGGGAGAGGCCAAGGAGGGGCCUGAGGCUCAGCAGACUGAGGGGGCCCCUCCUCGCCCUAGGCCUUGCUAGUCAGGGCCCUUCUGCCCCUUAUUUGGGAGGGUCCUUGAGCUAGCCCCAAACCCUCACUGAUCCCAGCCCCCUCCUUGAGCCCCCAUCCCACUGGGACCCUCUACUCCCAGCAGCAUCUAUCCCAGCAUCUGCCCUUGCUGAUCUAUCUCCGCACCCUCAAGCCCUGAGCCUCCUCCUUACUAAAGCACAAUGUGGCCUGGAACCUGCCAUUGCCCCUGUGGGUCUCGCCCUCUUCUCUCUUAGCCAGAGGUGGGCUUAUUGUGAAGUUAAUAAAACUUAUGCUCAUGGCCUCACUUCCAUGGCCCCUGUGAAGGCUGGGAGUUGCUGGGAGUUACAGAGUGUUCUAGACAAGGAGAGAAGCUGGUUUCACUCAGGA
rnacentral:lncRNA from 1 species